CGCUCACUCCUCCCCCUCCCGACCUGGCGGCCGCCUCCCUCUCUUAUCUCGCUCCCCGCUCUCCAGGGUCUCCUCGCUCUUCAUUCCUCUCGCGGCCUCCUCCCCUUUCCCUCACUCACCCUCUUUCCAAUUGAGGGAUCACAGACUCACUCCGGUUCUGCCAGGGGGACGACCCCCACCCCUCGCAAAACUCGACCACCUCUGACUUCAUGAAAUAUUCUUUCUGUUUGCCCCCCGCAGCAAGCCCCGCGUCCCAUCCCAGGACCCAGCCCCGCCCCUCCGCGCCCCCUUCCUCCUCCUGGCCCGCCGGGCCGAGUGGUGCUGCUGCGGGUGCGGCUGCUCGGAGCCUCCCUGGCCGCCCUCCCCAGGGCCGAUACUGACUCCAUCUGUCAACUUCGUUUAGACUUUGCCGCCCUCAGCCACACGCCGGGGUGCCAGACGCCCAAAGGGUCCUGCCUACCCAUCUGAGGACAUGUCUGCUCAUCACCCAUGUGCAUUCUGUCACAGUGGGACCUGUGUGUGUUCCCUGCUCAUUGUCGUUUCCAUGGUUUUGCUGAUUCUAUGCGAUUCUUCCAGGCCACUCCAAGUUCCACCUCUUCCACGAAGCCCUCCUUGAUUGCUGGGCCCUGGUUGAACUCCUUAUUAGUAACACCCAGGUACAGUCCUGCAGUCCUCAGAGGAUGCCAGUCCCACACAGGGGGAUCCUUCUCCAUAGGAAAACCGAGGAACAAUGCAGGUUCGAGGUGCACAGUGGCUAAGCACACUCAGUCCUCAAGAUCUUUCCUCUCAAAUGCUAAUGCUACCUUCAGAUGGGCUGCUGCCUGCUACCAUUUCAACAUUGAGUCCUUUAAGAUGCCAUCAGAGAGAGGGGAAGCAAGAGGCCAAGAAAAAUGAAAGGAGUUAAGAGUAAACCAUACUCCGGGCAACCAUCACCCCAAAAGGGAGACAACCAGACCUUCUGUGCCUCCCAAUGAAAGUCCACAUUCAACACCACCUACGAAGGAUUCUUACCAAAGACACCAAAACUGAACUCAGGCAACCCUCCAGAUAUAACUACCAAUUUGCAGAAAAUAAAAGGGAUAGAAGAACACAAAGAUGCAAUCAGCAAAAUUCAGACAGGACAAGCAAUAUUUUUUUCAAGAAGAAGAAGAAAAUUGAGGGAGUCUGGAAGAGAUGUAGAGUAAACUGGUAGAGUGAGACACUUAAGGGAUGCAUGAGUUCAGAACAAAGUGUAGACCUCGUUGGGAUCCCAGUUCAGGCAAGCAAAUCUUAAAAUGUUCAUGAGACUGUUGGAGGAAGGCAAACACAGAUAGCAUAGGUGUUGACAUUAAAGAAAUCUUAAUUUUCUGUGUGUGGUGACGGUAUUGCGG
rnacentral:lncRNA from 1 species